UACGGAGGGGGCUAGCGUUGUUCGGAAUUACUGGGCGUAAAGCGCACGUAGGCGGCUUUCUAAGUCAGGGGUGAAAUCCUGGAGCUCAACUCCAGAACUGCCUUUGAUACUGGAGAGCUUGAGUCCGGGAGAGGUGAGUGGAACUCCGAGUGUAGAGGUGAAAUUCGUAGAUAUUCGGAAGAACACCAGUGGCGAAGGCGGCUCACUGGCCCGGUACUGACGCUGAUGUGCGAAAGCGUGGGGAGCAAACAGG
rnacentral:rRNA from 1 species